UGGGGAAUAUUGCACAAUGGGGGAAACCCUGAUGCAGCAACGCCGCGUGAGUGAUGACGGCCUUCGGGUUGUAAAGCUCUGUCUUCAGGGACGAUAAUGACGGUACCUGAGGAGGAAGCCACGGCUAACUACGUGCCAGCAGCCGCGGUAAUACGUAGGUGGCAAGCGUUGUCCGGAUUUACUGGGCGGAAAGGGAGCGUAGGCGGACUUUUAAGUGAGAUGUGAAAUACCCGGGCUCAACCUGGGUGCUGCAUUUCAAACUGGAAGUCUAGAGUGCAGGAGAGGAGAGUGGAAUUCCUAGUGUAGCGGUGAAAUGCGUAGAGAUUAGGAAGAACACCAGUGGCGAAGGCGACUCUCUGGACUGUAACUGACGCUGAGGCUCGAAAGCGUGGGGAGCAAACA
rnacentral:rRNA from 1 species